rnacentral:rRNA from 1 species
AGUGGAUGGGGAGCAACCUAGUUGUGCGUGUGUAAAGGUAGUGCCAAGAAAAGCGAUGAUCAUGUUGAAAAUCAAUUCCCGGUACCCGAAACCGACACAGGUGGGCAAGUAGAGAAUACUAAGGGGCGCGAGGUAACUCUCUCCAAGGAACUCGGCAAAAUGACCCCGUAACUUAGGGAGAAGGGGUGCCACCGAGAGGUGGUCGCAGUGAAGAGGCCCAGGCGACUGUUUAGCAAAAACAUAGGUCUCUGCAAACUCGAAAGAGGAGGUAUAGGGGCUGACGCCUGCCCAGUGCCGGAAGGUUAAAGAAGUUGGUCAGUUUUAGGAUGAAGCUAGCGACUGUAGCCCCGGUGAACGGCGGCCGUAACUAUAACGGUCCUAAGGUAGCGAAAUUCCUUGUCGGGUAAGUUCCGACCCGUACGAAAGGCGUAACGAUCUGGGCGCUGUCUCGGAGAGAGGCUCGGCGAAAUAGGAUUGUCUGUGAAGAUACGGACUACCUGCAUUUGGACAGAAAGACCCUAUGAAGCUUUACUAUAGCUUGGAAUUGUGUUCGGGCUUCCUGUGCGCAGGAUAGGUGGGAGGCGUAGAAGGUAUUCUUGUGGGGAUACUGGAGCCAACGGUGAGAUACACUCUCAGGAGGCUAGAAUUCUAACUUAAUUAAGGACAGUUUCAGGUGGGUAGUUUGACUGGGGCGGUCGCCUCCAAAAAGGUAACGGAGGCGUACAAAGGUUCCCUCAGACUGGUUGGAAAUCAGUCGAAGAGUGCAAAGGCAGAAGGGAGCUUGACUGCGAGAAGUACAGUUCGAGCAGGGUGGAAACACGGUCUUAGUGAUCCGACGGUGCUGUGUGGAAGGGCCGUCGCUCAACGGAUAAAAGUUACUCUAGGGAUAACAGGCUGAUCUCCCCCAAGAGUUCACAUCGACGGGGAGGUUUGGCACCUCGAUGUCGGCUCAUCGCAACCUGGGGCGGAAGUACGUCCCAAGGGUUGGGCUGUUCGCCCAUUAAAGCGGUACGUGAGCUGGGUUCAGAACAUCGUGAGACAGUUCGGUCCAUAUCCGAUGUAGGCGUGAGAAUAUUGAGAGGAGCCUUCCUUAGUACGAGAGGACCGGGAAGGACGCACCGCUGGUGUACCUGUUAUGAUGCCAAUUGUAAACGCAGGGUAGCCAAGUGCGGAGAGGAUAACCGCUGAAAGCAUCUAAGUGGGAAGCCCACCUCAAGAUGAGUAUUCUGGUGUAAGGUCACGGGAAGACGACCCGUAAAUAGGCACGAGGUGGAAGUGCAGAGAUGUAUGAAGCCGAAGUGUACUAAUAGACCGUCGGC